GACGAACGCUGGCGGCGCGCUUAACACAUGCAAGUCGAGCGAGAACCCAGGCUUCGGCCUGGGGGAAAGCGGCGAACGGGUGAGUAACACGUGGGUAAUCUGCCCUCGGCAUCGGGAUAGCCCGGGGAAACCCGGAUUAAUACCGGAUGGCCCGACAGCUCUUCGGAGCGGUCGGAAAAGGUAGCUUCGGCCUCCGGCCGAGGAGGAGCCCGCGGCGGAUUAGCUUGUUGGUGAGGUAACGGCUCACCAAGGCUCCGAUCCGUAGCUGGUCUGAGAGGACGACCAGCCACACUGGGACUGAGAUACGGCCCAGACUCCUACGGGAGGCAGCAGUGGGGAAUUUUGGACAAUGGGCGAAAGCCUGAUCCAGCAAUGCCGCGUGCAGGAAGAAGGCCUUCGGGUUGUAAACUGCUUUUGUACGGAGCGAAAAGGUCCCCUCUAAUACAGGGGGCUCAUGACGGUACCGUAAGAAUAAGCACCGGCUAACUACGUGCCAGCAGCCGCGGUAACAC
rnacentral:rRNA from 1 species